rnacentral:tmRNA from 1 species
GGGGGCGUUUUGGUUUCGACUGGAUGUUGGAGGGCAACGCCGCAUGUAGAGGUUAAUCGGUUGGCCUCUUAAAAAGCCGAUUAAACAAAUAAUUGCAGACUCUAACGAGCUCGCACUCGCUGCUUAAUUGACGGCGACGCCUGAACCCAGACGCCUAUUACGGGGGAUCGCGACUACUUAAAUAGGCUGGCCAUGAAGCCGGGUAUCCGGGCCGAUUGGCGAGACUAAACAGGAUAAUCGGGAAGCGCGAGUGGCUGACGGGCAGACGCCUCCUUAAAAACAACCCUGACAGCUAAACAUGUAGAAGCUUGCCUGAAAGGCAUUUAGGACACGGGUUCAACUCCCGUCGCCUCCACCA